rnacentral:rRNA from 1 species
UACGAAGGGGGCUAGCGUUGCUCGGAAUCACUGGGCGUAAAGCGCACGUAGGCGGAUUCUUAAGUCGGUGGUGAAAUCCUGGAGCUCAACUCCAGAACUGCCUUCGAUACUGGGAGUCUUGAGUCCGGGAGAGGUGAGUGGAACUGCGAGUGUAGAGGUGAAAUUCGUAGAUAUUCGCAAGAACACCAGUGGCGAAGGCGGCUCACUGGCCCGGUACUGACGCUGAGGUGCGAAAGCGUGGGGGGCAAACAGG